rnacentral:lncRNA from 1 species
UAAAUGUUAAUCAUCCUAAACAAAGAUAGAUAACUCUUCAUUUCAUAACUGAAUAUACUGUAACUAUAAUUUAUUGUUAAAUCUUUCUCCAAAAAAAUGCAAAAUUUUUAUAUUACAUUGCAUUGGCAGAUCCAGGUGGAGGGUUCCAGGGGUUGGAACCCCCCUUUUUUUUGGCCGAUCAAUGCAUUUGAACAAUGUUGAAUGGGGACAUAUAAUUGGAACCCCCACCCACCCCUUUGCCCUGGGUUGGGAACCCCCCUUUUUAAAAUGGCUGGAUCCGCCCCUGCAUUGUAUUAUCAAAAUCAGUCGGUUGGUGUAUCAUAUAUAUAUAUAUUGACUAGAACAAUCCUAUUGUCUAACACAACAUUAACUUAGUAAACAGGAAAUACACCUUAACAAAGCUACUUAAUACAGAUAAGACCAGGUUACAAAAUUGAAGUGAAUAAUUUCCUGUUUUAAUCAAAUAUACUCAAACUUU